CUCCUGACGUCCAUAAUUACAGACAGAGAUUGAAAAGUAACCUUGAGAGAGUCCCUCCCUUGAUUCCAGGGCAAGUUACUAGAGGAUGUGCUCCAACAAAACAUGAGAGCAAGACAAGAAAGAGAAAGACAUGGGAUCCAGAAAAAAGGACCAGGAGAAUGUGAAGGGAAAUGCCAGGGUGAAAGAUAUGUGGCAGAAUUAGAGAGCAAUCGUUUUCACCGGAGAAGGAAGAUGGCAGACUCCAAGAAGAAAGACUGCAAAGUGAAUCAGCUUUAUGUAUACAUAUAAUGUCCAUGGACAGAGGAAUGGAUAAAGAAGAUGUGGUAUAUAUAUACAAUGGAAUAUUAUUCAGCCAUAAAAAGGAAUGAAAUUGGGUCAUUUGUAGAGACGUGGAUGGAGCCAGAGACUGUCAUAAAGAGUGAAGUAAGUCGGAAAGAGAAAAACAAAUAUCAUAUAUUAACGUUUAUAUGUGGAAUCUAGAAAAAUGGUAUAGAUGAUCUUAUUUGCAAAGCAGAAAUAGAGACACAGAUGUAGAGAACAAACGUAUGGACACCAAGGGAGGAAGUGGGGGGGGUGGGAUGAAUUGGGAGAUUGGGAUUGACAUAUAUACACUAUUGCUACUAUGUAUAAAAUAGAUAACUAAUGAGAACCUACUGUAUAUAGCUAAAGGAACUCUACUCAAUGCUCUGUGGUGACCUAAAUGGGAAGGAAAUCCAAAAAAAGAGGGGAUAUAUCUCAUAGUCUUUAAAAUUAGAAACAAGACAGAAAAGUUGAAAAAUAAACCACUUAAAAAAGUACAAAUGCAAGAAUUAAAAACAUCUCAUAUUCUAAUUUUUUCUAUUUUUUGGUCUGAAAGCAUCUGGUAACCAUUGGGGGAAAAUGGGUGAAGGAUAUGUGGGACCUCUCUGUAUUAUUUUUACAACUUCCUGUGAGUCUAUUAUUAUCUCCAAAUAAAAAGUUUUAAAAAGUU